rnacentral:rRNA from 1 species
GGAUGAGCCCGCGGCCUAUCAGCUUGUUGGUGGGGUGAUGGCCUACCAAGGCGACGACGGGUAGCCGGCCUGAGAGGGCGACCGGCCACACUGGGACUGAGACACGGCCCAGACUCCUACGGGAGGCAGCAGUGGGGAAUAUUGCGCAAUGGGCGAAAGCCUGACGCAGCGACGCCGCGUGAGGGACGAAGGCCUUCGGGUUGUAAACCUCUUUCAGCAGGGAAGAAGCGCAAGUGACGGUACCUGCAGAAGAAGCACCGGCUAACUACGUGCCAGCAGCCGCGGCCG